UGUAAUAUAGUAACAACUCUAACAAUAAUUCCUAAAAUAAUUCUAAAAAUACCAUUUCAAAUACACUUUACAAAAACAAAAAAUAUUAAAAAAAAUUCCCCCACCUUUUCUACUUCCACCUACCACCAUCCCUCCUCUCCUUAUUCCUCCAUUGUCAUUAUUGGCCCUCUCCCAUCCUUCACCGCUAUCAUUGCGCCUUCCCUUCCUUCUUCUUCCUUCUUCCUCUUCUUCUCUUCCUUUCCUUUCUCCUCCUCUCUCUCCCUCUCUCCUCUUCUCCCCAGCCACUCCCCUCCCUCUGAGGAUGCGACUUUCUUAUCUCAGCCAGAAGCCACGACUCCCUUUCCUUUCAACUUCUUCUUCAUUCUCUCCUCUCCUUCAUUCUCCUUUUCUCCCUUGCCACCCUCCUUUUCUCCCCUGCCACCAUCCUUCCCUUUGAUGCAAUCUCUAGCCAUGACUUUCUUAUUGUAGCCAAAAGCUGUGAUUAAGGAUGAAGGGGGUGACGAAGUGUGGGAGGAGAGACGAGGAGGAAGUAGGGGAAGGAGUGG
rnacentral:lncRNA from 1 species